rnacentral:lncRNA from 1 species
UUUCAAUAAUAGUAUAUUUGAAAGAUAAUAUAUAUUUGUAUAAAUGAGUUUAUUAUAUGUAGAUGUAAAUGUUAUAAUUGUAUAUAGUAUAUUUGUCUGUUAUUAAAAGGAAUAAUUAAAUAAUGAAACUAAUACCUAAGAAUUUAAUAAAAAGGGUACUUUACUGUCAUUGUUAAUAGUAAAUAAUGGAAAAAAAAUAAUGAAUGAUGUUUAAUAUUAUGUAAGAAACAAAAGCAUUAUGGUUAUAAAACAAUCUGCAUUAGGAUAUAUAAAACAAAAGCAAAAAUCAAAUAAGAAGCAUUUAUCAAAUUCAUAUUUUUUGUUGUAAAACUUGAAUGAUGAGAAAUAUCAUUUUCAUUUUAUAGGUUUGAGAAGAGAAACCUUCCUUGAAGAAACUCCUAACACUAGUUGCCGAUCAUAUUCUCCAUAUGAAGAAGUAUGUGNUGCUUAAAACGUUCUUUUUCACUAUCAAGUGUGUUGUUGUAUCAUCUUCAAGAAAAAGGAGAUUCUCUCACUACAUAAGUUUAUGGAGAUCAUCUUCAAUUACUUCAAUCUGCUCCAAAAGAGAGCACAUACAACAACAAUUAAGUUAUGUGUUUUAUGUAUAUUAAGUGAUAUUAUGACUUAACUUACAUGUGUUUUCUCUUCAAUUUCUAUAUAUUAUUUCUUUCAAAUUAAUCC